UUUCCGUAGGUGAACCUGCGGAAGGAUCAUUACUUAGUGAGCGCCCUCUGGGUCCAAUCUCCCACCCGUGUUCAUUGUACCUUGUUGCUUAGGUGAGCCCGCCUCACGGCCGCCGGGGGGCAUCUGCCACCGGGACCGCGCUCGCCAGAGACACUCUUGAACUCUUUCUGAAGUGUGCAGUCUGAGCAAAAACUAGAUAAGUUAAAACUUUCAACAACGGAUCUCUUGGUUCCG
rnacentral:misc_RNA from 1 species